rnacentral:rRNA from 1 species
CCUACGGGUGGCAGCAGUGAGGAAUAUUGGUCAAUGGACGAGAGUCUGAACCAGCCAAGUAGCGUGAAGGAUGACUGCCCUAUGGGUUGUAAACUUCUUUUAUAAAGGAAUAAAACGAGGCACGUGUGCCUUUUUGCAUGUACUUUAUGAAUAAGGAUCGGCUAACUCCGUGCCAGCAGCCGCGGUAAUACGGAGGAGGCGAGCGUUCUCCGGAUUUAUUGGGUUUAAAGGGAGCGUAGACGGGUGGUUAAGUCUGUAGUGAAAGUUUGGGGCUCAACCGGAAGAUUGAUAUUGAUACUGGCAGACUUGAGUACAGGUGAGGUAGGCGGAAUUCGUGGUGUAGCGGUGAAAUGCUUAGAUAGUAGGAAGAACCCCGAUUGCGAAGGCGGCUUACUAAACAGUGACUGACAUUGAGGCUCGAAAGUGUGGGUAGCAAACAGGAUUAGAUACCCCUGUAGUC